rnacentral:rRNA from 1 species
AUACGGAGGGUGCAAGCGUUGUUCGGAAUUACUGGGCGUAAAGCGCGUGUAGGCGGCUUGGUAAGUCGGAUGUGAAAUCCCUCGGCUUAACCGAGGACGUGCAUCCGAUACUGCUAGGCUUGAGUCUCGGAGAGGGAAGUGGAAUUCCCGGUGUAGAGGUGAAAUUCGUAGAUAUCGGGAGGAACACCAGUGGCGAAGGCGACUUCCUGGACGAAGACUGACGCUGAGACGCGAAAGCGUGGGGAGCAAACAGGAUUAGAUACCCUGGUAGUCCACGCCGUAAACGGUGUCAACUAGGUGUUGCGGGUAUUGACCCCCGCAGUGCCGCAGCUAACGCAUUAAGUUGACCGCCUGGGGAGUACGGCCGCAAGGUUAA